GCAGCCUUUCCGUGGCCCAUGCUGAAGUACAGUGGCGCCGUUACUACUCACAACAGCCUCUACCUCCCGGGCUCAAGUGGUUCUCUCAGCUCAGCCUCCUGAGUAGCUGGGACCACAGGUAUGCAGCGUGACACCUGGCUAAUUUUUGAAUUAUUUUGUAGAGACAGGAGUCUCACUGUGUUGUCCAGGCUGGUCUCAAACUCCUAAGCUCAAUCAGCCCUCCCACCUCGCCCUCCCAAGAUGCUGGGAUUACAGGCGGGAGUCGCCACGCCUGGCCUAACUUGCUUUUUUUUCUGUUAUGAAUGUAGUAACACAAGCGGGAGAGGGAAUUUAGAAAUGAAACCCAAGUUGGGGUUCCUUCCAAGAAGGUGGCAGCUCCCAUUCUUGGGGCAUUUCCAUGGCCUGUCUGGGCCACAGCUGCCCCGUGGUGACCUCUCCACUUGCGGCUGUUUGUCCACUGCCUGGCAGGGGUGGGACCUGGCUGCACGGAUGAGACGCUGCUGUCGGCCAUCGCCAGCGCCCUGCACACUAGCACCAUGCCCAUCACGGGACAGCUCUCGGCCGCCGUGGAGAAGAACCCCGGCGUAUGGCUCAACACCACGCAGCCCCUGUGCAAAGCCUUCAUGGUGACCGACGAGGACAUCAGGAAGCAGGAAGAGCUGGUGCAGCAGGUGCGGAAGCGGCUGGAGGAGGCGCUGAUGGCCGACAUGCUGGCGCACGUGGAGGAGCUGGCCCGUGAC
rnacentral:sRNA from 1 species